rnacentral:rRNA from 1 species
AACGAACGCUGGCGGCGUGCCUAAUACAUGCAAGUCGAACGAGAAAACUCCCUUCGGGGAGCCAGUAAAGUGGCGCACGGGUGAGUAACACGUGGGUAAUCUACCCCGGAGCCCGGGACAACGUUGGGAAACCGACGCUAAUACCGGAUAAGCUCACAGGUCCCCUGGGACCAGGGAGAAAAGAGGGCCUCUUCAUGAAAGCUCUUUCUCCGGGAUGAGCUCGCGCACCAUUAGCUAGUUGGUGAGGUAAUGGCCCACCAAGGCGACGAUGGUUAGCUGGUCUGAGAGGAUGAUCAGCCACACUGGGACUGACACACGGCCCAGACUCCUACGGGUGGCAG